rnacentral:lncRNA from 1 species
UUCCAGCUGCCUCUAUGUCACUCCAUGCAACUGCCUAUGUCUUAGGUCUCCCAACUGCAUCCAUGCUGCGACUCCACAAUCGCCUAUCUCCGAUCAUGUCUCUAUCACAUCCCACAACUGUCUAUGUUUCAGUUGCAUCUCAACCUUCAUUGCUACUCCUUUGGACCCUCUGCACUUCGUGGAUCUCUUCGAAGCCAUCUCGAACCCUUCACACCCUGUGGGCUCCUCUAAAAUUACCA